ACAGUAAUUUAUAAGUUAUUUUGCCAUUAUUCACUUUCCUAAAGUCUCCAGAACCACACUUUGCAGCUUACGCACGGACGCAGGCAGCAGACUCGCUGUAAGUCACGUCCUUGUUGUGGCUUUAAAUCCUCCCGCUGAAGCAGCAUUAUUAUCGUCAUUUUAGAAAUUUCAUUGUCUGUACGAUCGGUUGCAAUUGGCUCGGUCUUUACACGGAAGAAGAGGGGCGGGCCCUGUCCUUCAGCGCGGCCUCUCGUUGGCUGUUGUAGGCUGUGGACAGGACAUGGAAGCUCCUAUUGGCUCAAGCGAGCUGUCAAUCGAAAGGUCAGAGGGCAGCCGCCAUUUUUAGAGCCAGAUACCGGCAGUGUUUACAUGCGAAGUGGAGUUACAACGGAGGAGUGUUAACAGACGUUGGGAGACGUCGUGUGAACCAAUCAGCAGCAGCCUGCCGGGGAAACAGGAAGCCGUGGCGACAACAGCGAUCCAGAGAGUAGACAAGAACCACGAUGAAGAGACGGCCAUCGAGUCUGUGGAUGUUUCAGCUUUACAGUGACUUCUGCUCCGCCCUUUAAUAACCCCCAACUUCCUGCCACAUGAGAACCUGAAGGACUCAAUCAUCACCUGUGGACUUUCCUCUCACAUCAGAGACACAGAGCAGAGCUCAGUCUUUGUUGAUAAUAAACUUGAUAUAACUACUAAUCCCGGUUAUGAUUAGCAUUCAUAUAACACUGACUGCGAUUGUAGGCUAUUCGUCUAUUUCAUAAUCGUCAUUUUGUGUAAUUGUGUCUUGUAUCAUAUAAUCGGAUAAGAUCCAGAUCUCUGUCUCUGAUUACAGACUUUAUUAUAGAUAACAUUAUAUAACAUUAAUAACACAUAAUCAUUCAUAUUUUAUAGACGUUUCAAGACGUUAGUAUUAUAAAAGUAACAGCAUGAAGAAAGCAACAUUAGCAUAAAAAGUAAAGUUUAUAUUAAAGUAAUAAAGUAGUGUUGAACCCUUCAACAUACAACCUAAAAUAUGAGUCCAGCUGAUCAACUGAUCAUUGGUUAUUAACCACAUCCUCCUACUGUCAGAGUAUCUUUGUAGAACUGUUAUUAUAUAUCUUUACUUAUAAACUAUAAACUUAUAAAGUUCUACUUCAUUAUACAUUUUACUAUAUUUUAUCAUUUUUAUCAUAUUGUACAGUUUUACUUUUUUAUUCAUUUUUACCUCAUUAUAGUCUACAUGGAGUUCUGUUGUGCAGCGUUGAUAUUUUGCUGCUGAUGCUAUCUCUCUCUCUUACACGUGUAAAACUAAAUAAAUACAGCUGAAAACA